GAAGCGGAUGGCCACCCAGCCGCCGGCCGGCACGCCGACGGUGUUCCGCUCGACGGGGUCGACGAGGUUGAACUUGGCCGGGUCGUUGACGGGGUCGUAGUUGCCGUACCCUUGACCGACGACGAAGAAGUUGAAGCCGUGGAGGUGCAGCGGGUGGCUCUCGAUGCCGAGGAUGCUGGUGCCCUGCAUCACCAGCUCCACGUUGGUGCCGUACGGGAUCACCAUCAGCUUGGUCCCGUUGGCCACGUUGGUGUUGUUGGGCGGCGUCCCCGUGUAGUUGAACGGCGUCAGGGGCGCGACGGGGAAGUCCGACGAGUAGACGCCGCUGGACAGGCCGGUGAAGUGCGAGUGCAGCAGCGCCCUGGUCGGGAGCGCGAAGGAGACGUUGUUCACGGACGCCGCGAACUGCGUCGUGUUCGUGGGGCCCUGGCACGUCGUGUUGGCGGGGCACGGGUGCGUGCCGAGCCCGACGGUGAAGAAGAACUUCUUGUCCACCGUCUUCGGCACGGCCGCCGGGUACUGCGCGGUCGCGAGGCUCCGGAGCUUUGCCGUGAAGUUGCCGACGAAGUCGGUGUCGUUGAACCCCGGCAGCGUCGGCUUGUAGAGCGGCAGAGCCUUGUUGAAGCUCGGCGCGGAGGAAGGGGCGUCGGGGUACUCGUACUCGAGGAUGCCGGCGACGGUGGUGUUGUCGAAGGUGCCCGGCCUGGUGGUGGAGUAGGGCGCGGCGGACAUGUAGUAGUUGGCGCCGGGGUAGAAGGGCUUGGCGGUGAGGAGCACGUUGGUGGUCUGCCCCGGGGCGAUGAGCAGGGUGUCGACAGUGAAGGGCUUGACGUAGACGGCGUCGACCUCGACGACGGUGAGCGAGUGGUUGGCGAUGGAGAAGAAGAGCUCGUCGUUGAGCGCGGCGUUGAUGAGGCGGAGCAUGUACGUCUUCCCGGGCUUCACCUUCAGCUUGUACGUGUCUGCGUGUCACACGUGCAGGCAGGCCAGUGCGGAUUACAACAAAGUUUUUCGAUGCCGACGUGUAUCGGAAUAGAAAGCGCACCUAUCUGGAGGCGUAACUAAGAUUUCGUUUACGUCACACACCGGCCGGGACCCACCGCCGGUGAGGUUGCUUUUUAGUGCACCAAAAUGUGUUAGGUCAAGUACAAGUUUAUUGGAUCCCAUGACGGCGACGUUUUGCGUAAAUUCCCACAGCCAACAGCCAAUGCAAAGAUCCCGUUUCCAGAAAGGAACUCGGAAUCUUCUUUGCCUUUGGUGAUUUGAACCCCCCACCUUCGUGAAAACGAGGCCUCUUUUAUGAUCGAGUUUCAAAACGUAACUUGGGCAUGCAUGGAGAAAAUGAAAACCAGGGGGGCGCCCGUAGACGUCACCUUUUCCUUUCUGUUAGCACUGCUGCUUAGACUCUUUGCUUGCUCAUCAGCGUCGUCUUUUCUUUUUGUUUCGUUUUGUAUUUUUAGAUGCCAUGCCUAGCUCGUCCUUGCUUUGAAACUCCGUAACACUGACACGUAGCUUCACUAGUGUAAUCCAGACCAAAAGAAAAAAAAAAGAAAAAGAGAACAUAACCCGUACCUUUGGCAGAGCAGUUGUAGAGCGGUCCUGGGAGGCCGUUGAUGGUGUGGGCGUCAGAGACAUUCGGUCCACCGCCGGUCUGAAGCGCCUGCUUGAUCACCACCUCCGUGUCCGCCUGCCACCACUCACCUACCACCCAAAACGAAUCGCAUUUCGCGAUCGCACACAAAAUGGAUCAGUACCAUCAUCAACAACAGCAACACGAUCGUUUUCUCGUGGCGUUCGGCCGUUCACGUCGGCUGGCGGCGGAGACAGCAGACACACUCACCGAAGAUGACGGGGACCUCCUUGUAGGGCGCCGGGAACGGGUAGGGCACGCCGAGCUUGGGGAGGAUGACGAUGGGCCCGUAGACGGUGGCGCGGAGCCAGGAGAUGUGCGCGUGCCACCACAGGGUGCCGCGCUGCCCGACGACGGUGAAGUUGUACACGUAGCUCUGCCCCGUCUGGAUCGGGCACUGCGUGAUGUACGCCGGCCCGUCCGCCCACCCCGUCCGCAGCUGCCGGAUGCCGUGCCUGAUCAGAGUGUUCAGAGAAAAAUUUUCAGAGCUAGUAGCGUUCCCGGCAGGUGGCAGGGAUGAGAUAUUCUUGGAACGAACUUUUUGCGGGUGUUGUUGUGCCGCUACGACGACGAAGUAAUGCUAAAAGUGGGUGCACCAGCGCGCGCACUUUUGACUUCAAAUCACGCUCGUACGGGAGAGAGAGUAGGAUCGGAUCACUUACCAGUGCAGCGAGAUGUUGUGCUGUGCGUGGUUGGUGACGCGGACGACGACGCGGUCGCCUUCCCUGGCGACGAGCUCGGGGCCGGGGAACUGCCCGUUCACCGUGACGAUGCUCUUGCUGGAGCACAGCCGCGUCACGUUCGCCAUUGUCACCUGCGUGCAUUUAGGGUUCAUCGAUGGUCAAGACCACGUACUAGAGAUAGCACAAUCAAGACGGCCGUACGCGAGUAGCAUGGUAAGGAAAACGUGUGUACUAGCAGGCGAUCAAGAUAACACAAUCAAUGCAACGACGUACAUUGAAGUCGUAGUAUCUCGUGAUGCCUUGCACUUCGACGAUGGAGGCGAGGAGCAUCAGGGCCGCCACGAGGAGGGAGCACGGACGAAGAGCGGAGGAGAUCGCCAUCGCCAUGGCCCUGGCCAAACUUCUAGGCUCUGAUGACCGAUGGAGCAGCUAGCUAUCUGAAGUUGCUUUCGAUCGAGCUCUAGAGGCGACCGAAGAGAUGGAAGAGGAGCAACAAAUGUGUGGGUGUGUUGGGACAAGCGCUAGAGUCCUCUCCAUAUAUAGGGCAUGGCGAGCAAGCGCAAGUGUAUGGCAACUACCACCGCCACAUUUUCUUAGGUUUUUUACACGGUCGACAGGCACGCAGCUUGGGCGGCACUAUUAGUUUGGUGAUUCGGUAGAUGAGCGAUCAAGGGCGCAGGCAGGCCAGCUGCUCGAGCUAGCUGGAGUGCUCUAGCUUUAGAGUGUGGCCAAAGAAUGCGGCAACGAUCCCUUCUCUUUUGACCAUGCACGCACUGGGGUGAUCGCCGGCCGCUAGUUUAGUUUUGGUGAUUUGCAUGCCGUCACGUACCCUUUCCGGCGCAAGAGUUCGCCGACGGAAACUGAAAGGCAAACAAACUGCGUGCGUGCACAAGAGUAAAAACCGUUGUCUUGGUGGUGGUAAAGGAAAAGGUACGGUAGAUGGAUAUUUGCGAAGAAGAAUUCCCAAUCAUCAGAGACAAAAUCUUGUCGCGCUAUUGUUCUGCAAAAGGGCUUGUUAUGUACUCCCUCCGUCCUAAAUUAUACGCCGUUGUAGUUUUUAUAGAUUCAUAAUUUUUGCCAUAUAUCCUAUAUCUAAAUAUAUACUAUGUCUAGAUACACAGUGAAAGCUAUGAACCUAGAAAAACCAAAACGACCUAUAAUUUGGGACGGGGAGUAAUAUACAUGUUCCAUGAAAGAUCUUGUCCUAUACAAUGGGUAAUUUGACAUUUUGACAAUUGAAUGGUGAUGGCUUAUUAUUGGUCCCUAAUUCGUACUUGCUGGUUUAGACGACCCUGAACAAAAUCAGGGAGGUCAAGUGUCAAAAUCUACAGAUAAUAGGUGCUCUACAAGCAAUUGGGAAUCGAUUUCUUGAAGCAAAUAUUCCAUAUCCUUCACACUUAUUAAUAAAGCAAAUUGUUGAUUACACUGGCAUCUAGUGUUGAAAAAUAUGUUUACCUGUAUUUUGACAAGGCCAUCUAGAUAAUGACACCCAAAUAAAAAGAGGAAAAAGAUCUUCUAGGAACUGUGUGCAAAGGUUACUUCCUAAUUAGGUUGUGCAGCUUAAUCAAAACUACAUGAUGCAAAUAAUCCAUGAUUCACGUGGGCCACCAAAAAUUCUCGAAAGGGAGAAAUUUUUUUUUUCAUGGGGCAUCAACUAAAAAAGAAAGAAAACAGUUCGUCGCUGUCACCAACAUACUACGUAGCUUCCUACUACGUUCCCAUUUCUCCAAGUUCAGAAACCGGUUGACGCAGGUUUUUUCACCUACAGUUCAGUGAAUCUACGAGUUGUAGGAGUGUAUGUUUAAGAAUGGAUGCAUGAUCCCUUGCCAUGGAUCCCAAGACACCAUCCAUCCAGUAGGUGCUACCUGCAUGGUUGGUGUCUUAGCGUGUGUUCUUUCCUUGUACAAUGCACAACGGGGAGAAGGAUGCUUGACCCAACACGAUUGAGCGAUGCAACGUUUCCUUCCUCUUACUUUAUUGACUGAAAAAGAAGGAAGGCGGACCAACAGUAACAUGUAAAAAAAAAGGAAUGCAUUGAAUUUGCUCUCGCAACUCUCCCGGCCCUACUUCUAAUGAGGCAUUUCGGCGCAGAAAAAAUGCUUGUUUUGAAAUGCUAUAUGCAUAAUUAGUUAACUUGAUCGUUGGUAUGUGCAUUCAAAAGUAACUAGGUUAAUUGUUCAAGGUAGACAUUGAUAUGUGCUGCCAUAUUUAAUCAGACUUUUUAUCUCUAUUUCAUUUCUAUGUAAAUAAACAGAAAUAUGCACAUCUAUCAACUCUCUUAUAAAGAUCAUAACAUUUAAAAUACCAAAAUAAUAAUGAAAGAAUCACGAAGGUUUUUGACCAAUAAUAAAAAAAAUCAUGAAUUUGCCCAGUGCUGAUUUAACUUCCUGACGAGAUUUUAAGCCUUAUUAGUGGACUUUAUAUUAUGUACUACAAAUAAUCAUAUUUGUUUAUAUUAACUUUUGAAACAAUGAUAAGUACAAGGUUUUCCUAAAUCAUAGAGAAACUAUUAGUAAUACAUGUAAAUCAAUCAUAAUAUUUUCUGUACCAAGUAAUGCAAUGAUUCACUGAUAUGAUGGAGUAACAAGCAGUCUAGGAUAUGAUACUUUUAAAAAAAAUUUAGCUCGCCUCAAUGUUUCAUGUCUCUAUCUGUGAUCCAUACUGAACAAAAAGGUUAAUAAAUGACAGUGACCAAUUUUAAUUAAGCAUUCCCUAAUAAUGAUCGGUGACCGGAUGCCACAGAAUUGGUUUGAUUUUGGGCUCGGCUCAUAUUUCUGAAGUACCCCCAUCAUUAUUAAUUCUUAUGUAUUAUGACUGAAGUAGAAAGAGUGGCUAGGUCUUGCAAUAAUUUCUUAAAAACAAUUACAACACAAGUCACCACAUAUUUACAGAACCACAGGAUCGACUAUUUCCCUUGUUUCUCAUAAAAGUAAAAGAUCGACACAUGAGGAAAAUAGUUUUAUUCCUCAAAGAUCAAUUGCAAUCAUGGAAGCAAGGAAUAAAAUUAACCACAAGAUCGACUAUUUUCCUUGUUUCUCAUAAAAGCAGUUGCAGUUCAGGUAUCCAUGGCGUGGAAUAAAACUAACCACAAUAGUUUAUGAAGCACAAAUAGGUGAACAAGUGUUCUCUUCCUUGAUUGCAAUUGCUUUCCUCUCAUUUUCUUGAAAGAACAGAAGGCGCAAGCCCCUGCUGGUUAAUAUACUGAAAUAAAAUUAAGGUUAUUUACAGAGAGUCCAAAAGAAGAAAAAAAGAGACCAAAAAAAGAUUGACAACAAAUUACUGGAAUGAAUCUUUGCAGAUACUGAAAUCCGGGAAGUAACUCUUCUUUGCCCUAUGAAUAAGCAUGGCAAAUUCAUGUCAAAACUUGGUCUUUCUUACUGCAUCUAUUGUUAGGGCAACGUGAUUCAAGAUCUGAGCAUUUCUAAUUUCUGACCAUUUUAGUCCAUGUAUCCCUAAUAUAGCUUAAGUCAAUGCAGUUUUCAAAAUGUGCAUCUCUCUAAAUUUUUAUCUUUGUAUAGCAAUUCAGGGGGCUUCCACCUUGUAUUAAUGGAAAAGAGCCAUUAUGAACGAGCUAGAAAACGGGCACAAGACUUGCAAACCCAACAAGAUACCAUGCAUCCCAGGUACACAAAGAGUAGAAAAGAAAAGGGCAAAAAAACAACCCCGAUGAAGAACAAAGAGAGAAUCAAACAACACAUGACUCUGAAAUUAUUUUUUCAUUGGGUACCUUGAAUAAUUUAUCAGGUUUAAGUUUUUAGUUAAACUCAAAGAGAAGUAGCAAAUUUCUUUUUUUUUCCGUGGAUGGAGAUGUCCCAAGCCCCAGCCCUAGCAUGCAACUCCGGUGACACCCCCUCCCCCCACACCGCCACCUCCACCGCCGCCGCCGCCGCUUCACCUGUCGCAUCCACCUCCUCCGCUCCUGCCGCCGCAACACCCUACUCCCCGCCCGGCAACUCCUCCUCCCCUCUAGUGGGAGAUGAGACAGCCCCUUCGCGCCGCCGCCUCCGGGGGACUCGACAGUCUGCUAGCCCCUCCUUCCGCGUCCUUGGCCGGUCGGACCGCGCCUCGGCGGGGCUUAUCUCCGCCCGGCCUGGGGGCUGAUGGCGUCAGACUCCCAGCCCGCAGCCUCUCACCGGGGGAAGCAUUUCGUGACUUCGCACUUCACAAUUUCCAUGCCACUGUCUUCGCCCAGGUCUCGUCAGCCUCUCCCCUCCUGUCACCCUCCGACCUCUGGGUCUCCCCCUACCCUCACCUUCCCAUUUGCAAUCUUGCUUGGGUUCGGAACACCCUGAACUACUGGCUGGAUAGCGUGGUCCUUGCCAUCCCGCUUGUCCAAGUUGCCACUACCAUCUUCCGCGUCUCCCUUGCUCACCACACCAUCGCCCAGUUCAUUCUCACUCUCGGCGACUUGUGCCACGGCCGCAUCCGCCUGAGGUUCUUCCCUGACCUCUGCUCCGCCGCCGCAUCCAUCCCCAUUUCAAACUCUUUGGUCAUCCUUUCGGCAGGAUCCUAGGCAACCUCCUCUGGGCCAGCUUCUCCCGACCCAUCGCAGCUGCCUCCGGAUGGCCCACCACCCCAGCGCUCGCCUGGCGCCUCCCCCAAGGGUGGCGACCCCGAGGGUGGCGCACCGCUGCAGGCGCAUGCACGUCUCGUCAGCUCUGUCCCAGCUGCUUCGUAGGGCGUGCAUGGCUACGUUGCCCCCUGUGCCCGGUGCACCUUACCUACUAGGGACGGGCCUUCCCCACCAUCUGCGGUGCCAGGUGGCGCCGAUCCACCCGCCCCGUCGUGCGCCGGGUGCCCUGGGCUCCUCCCCCUACCGGUGGACAGGGGUUUCUUUCCACCGCUACACCCCCCUGACUCCUCCACCCUCCCAUCCCCGAAAAACCCCAACUCCACCCUCCUACGUUGUCGUCGCUUCAUCUUCCCCCUUCACCGAUCGCCAUCGCCGCACCCUUUGCCCCCGCACCCACCACGCCACCCCCUCACCACCAACCACCGCCACUGCUUCCGAUGCCUCACGCUUGACCACCGCCAUGCAGCCUGCCGCAACCCCAUCCAUUGUCGUCGCUGCUGGGUCUUCGGCCACAUCGAGUGUUUCUGUCGUGCGCCUCGGCACCCCAUUGCUCGCAGCAUGUUGGGUAUCCAUUCGAUGGUCCACCAGUCACCGACUCCGAGUCCUCCUCGCCAGCGUUGGCCUCCUCGCACUCGGCGGCAACCUCUAGCUCCAACCUGUCGGCUUCCCCGCCGGUCCCUGUCCACGCCGACAUCAAUGACUUGGCGGUGGAUGCCCUGGAGGAGGGUGAGAUCCCGCCGUCCGGGUCUGACCUGGAGGCCAUCGUCGAUGCCAACGUCGAUGAUGAUGACGCCCUCUCCAACGGCCAACAAGAACUGGAGGAGUAGCUGCAGCCGGACUCCAUCGAAGUCUUCAUGCCUCCGGUUCGCAUGUUGCGCUUCUCCCACCUGGCCUUCAUCCUCAUUGACCUGCUGCCUCCCAACCUUAGCUCCCUUGUCCGCCAAGCUCUCAUCGCCCAGGGUGGCCAUCCUCGGGUAACCCUCACCAUCUCUUCCUACAAUGCCGCUUUGAUUAUGUUUGAAAGUAAUGCUGCUCGUGAGGACGCCAUCCAGCUUGCCUCCUACCUGGGGUAUGAACACGUCGUCAACCUGGAGUGCCACAAGGAGACCCCCAACCGUUUCCACUUCUAGCGCGAUGCCUUCGUUGCCGUCGCUAUUUGAGGGUACCCGAUGGAGCAUUGGAAGCGCAUCAUCUUCUCCGUGGGUCCCUAUGCCAAUCCACACUUCAUCGACCCAAUCUACCUGUCUGGUACGGAUUUCUCCGCUGUGCUCCUCAUGCUCAAGGUCGAGGGUGCCAAUGACAUCCCGCUCAAGGAGUUCAUCAAGAACCAUAAUGAGUUAGGCUCCUUCGCCACCAUCGAGAUCCUGCACGUUAGGACCUGGACGAAUCAGACUCGGACGAUGAUGGCCCUCAGCCCCCUGAAUUCGGCCUUGGGUCGCCGCUCAACAACGACAAUGGUGGUGGCCCAGCACCUCCUGGGAGGGGGGGCUGGCCAUGGCCCAGCUACAGCGUCGAUGUUCAGUGCUCCCCUUCACGGGCCAGGUGGUGGUGGUGGCGCUCAACAACUCCAAGUGGUGCGCGCUCCCUGCAGAUCAGGCCUCAGCAUUCCUGUCUGCUGCGGAUGUUCUGCCGGUCCCAGUGGGCAGGCUCCGCAACCAGGUCGUGCUGCCUGAGGCCAACGCAGAGCCCCUCCUCACCAAACCUGCGACCGUGAACAUCAUCCUGCGCCAGGGAUCAUUCUUCGAGAUCUCCACCAUCGCCGAGGAUGGAUCCAAAGGCUUCUUCAAAGUCCCGCUCUAGCUGUACCGCACUGAUGUUCGUGGUGACCAGGGGAUGUUCGUCAUCAACUUCUGCUUCGUCUUCGGCUUCCUACACAAGGUGGCAGCAGUGGGUGCCCGUGGCUGCGCCUCCUUCUCCUCUGACAUCCUCUGUGUGGGGCUGCAGCCACCGGCGAACUUGUCCCUCCUCGAUGCCACCAAGCUCUGCGAUGGGGCUGCUGUCCCCCGCAUCCUGCCGCCUAUCGCUACUGAUGCGAGGGCUCUGGCACCGGAACCUCCAGUGCUGGAGGCUGUGGAGGGCGCAGCUGCUCCAUCCUCACUAAGCUUCAACUCCCUGGAGGAAGGAGUCCGCCACUGCAGCAGGCUGGAAGCGUUCUACGACAUCUGGAAGUGCAACCACAUCAUCGAGGAUGUCCCGGUGCCGCUUGUUGAGCUGUGGUUCAGUGUCUCAGCCUCCUCCAUCACCCUCCAGAGGGAGCUCUCCUCGCUGGAGCCUUUACCGCACGCUCGCGCCACUCCGACUAGCUUAAAGCCAAGGAGCUGGCCGCUUGCGAGAUGGUCUCCGAGGAUGCCAUCCGCAUCAAGAAGUGGAUGCUGGGCACCGUGACUCCACCCUCAGCUCCUAACCCUGCUACCAACGGGAAAGCCAACGGGAACGUGAACGCUGAUGCUGUUGAAGAUGAUCCUACGCACAUCGCGGCCACCACUACUCCUACUGCAAUGGCUGCACCUGCUUUCCCGACCCUAGCCUGGUGUGUGGUGGACCUCAAGCUCCUGGGUCGUGCCUGCUGCUUGCCUCAACACCCUCGACAAUGCCCUGUCACUGAUCGUCGACAAUGUGGACUAAUGCCGUGGUGUAGUCCUCACUUGCUCAUGCUCCAGUCUCUCUUUUGCUCAUGCGAUUGUGGGUCAUGUAAUGUAAUCACCCUCGACAAUGCCCUGUCACUGAUCGUCGACAAUGUGGACUAAUGCCGUGGUGUAGUCCUCACUUGCUCAUGCUCCAGUCUCUCUUUUGCUCAUGCUUUUGUGGGUCAUGUAAUGUAAUCACCUACCAGCUGCCUAGAAUGCUUGUUGUCAGUGAAACUUUGUGCGCUUGUCGUCUGAACCUAAAGAGGUGCCCUUGUGGCCUCCUCUCGCCAUCGGAGCAUGAUAUUUGUGACUUGUUUGCCUAUAUCGUGUCUCUGUGUGUACUGAUUCUCCUUGCCUGGGUCUACUCAUGUUCUAGUUCAUGUGGUUCUUGGGUUUUUUAUGGCUAACAACUCUCUAAACAUGUCAUGGAAUGUGCGUGGCCUGGGGGAUAAGAAGAAGUGCAUGGAUGUCCGAUUGGCCUUCCCAGCCUCUUUGCCUACCAUUGCUAGCCUCUAAGAAACUAAACUACAUGUCAAUGUUUUAUACCUGGCAACCUACCGAGGGGUAUCCCGAGGUAGUAGAUUGAUCGGUAGGGGAUCAUUGGACCUGGAACUCAAAGGUGAAAGCGAAGCCACAAGACACAGAUUUAUACAGGUUUGAGCCACCAGAGUAGCGUAAUACCCUACGUCCUGUUUGGGGUGUUGUAUAUUGCGUCCUACGCUUGGGCGUUGUUUCGUGUUGAGGAUUUGGUCCUCUAUUAUGGUUCUAUGAGGUCUUAGCCUACUGAUCUAGUGACCCCUGCGCUCCUUUAUAUGCUCCAGGGGGCGGGAUUACUUGUCGGUUACAAGGAGUCCUAGCAGGAUUACAUGGUAUGAGUCCUAAUAGGAUUACAGAGGAAUCCUAGUAGGAUUCCAUCUUCUUCCUUCCUUGCGAGUACUGGGGAUCUAUCCCUAGCAAGCCCCCGAGCGCUUCAUAGUUAAAUGUAACAACUCAAGUACUUUUUAGAUCCUCGCCGAGUAGUUUAGUGCUUCUCGAGUACUUUGUCUGGCUAAAUCUUCAAACAUACUUGAGCAUUGUCGUGCGGCUAGAAUGUGCUUAAGCCUGAUUUAACUUGGUCUGGAUGGGGUGCCUAUGGCUACUGCCAUGUUGACUACGUUGGGAUGGGGUGUGUGGAACUGAGUGUAUCGGGUUCUGCUGAUCGAGUUGUUCGUACGUGUGCUCUGCCAGUUCAGCCAAUUGCCUGGUGUAUUUAUCCUGUGGCAUUGCGCGGGUAAUAAGAUCAAUGAACGCGAUGAUGGCAAGAGGGGUACGAUGUUGACGCGAUUGAACCGCUUCAAACUCGUGAUCCAGGUUCAUGAUUGGUAGGUCUGCUGCAAGGUGGUGCUCUGCUCUUGCAGCGUUCCUUACUCGUCGUCGAGUUCUUUGAGCUUCAGUCUCUUCUCCAGCAACAUUAGCGGUGAGCUCAUCCUGCAAGACGUCAUCUAGGUGACAUUCAUGCCACGGAUUUCUCUUUGGUUGCUCUUCAUCUUCACACUCUUGUCCAGCAAUAAGAGCGAAGAGUUUUCGUUUCGGAGAGUAGCUUCCCGAACUUGACGUGAUGACCUCCUUGGUGCCCUCUUCCUCAUAGAUGGGUGACAGACGAGCUCCCUCCUAGUACGGGAGGGUGUAUGGUAGGCAAUAAGGUGUGAAUCGUCGUUCUUGGUAAGAGAGGUGGCUUCAUGUUGAGCCAGAAGAAUCUGCCUUGUGAGGUUGAUGUGAUUACCAGACCCUACUGCAAACCUGAUAAAGGGGUCUCCUCAUCCAAAUCCGAGUAGUAGUCGGGGUCCUCGAUCAUAUUUGUGCCGAAUUGUGAUCUGGACAGGGUAGCUUGGUAAAUAGCACCCGUGUUUCGGAGUCCGAACGGGAAUUGACUUGAGUCGUAGUACGAUUUGCACGAUGGCUUGAGCGUCGGCUCGUGAAAACCAGUCCGACUAGUGGGAAAAGUCAAGUUGUACUCGGAUUCGUCCCCCUGGCCUCUGACUAAGUCAAAAAUUGAAAAUUUGCUGAAUUUGUCGACGAGAUCCUCCAGGGCCUUACGCUGGAGCUUCAUGGCAUGCUGCUUCUUUUCCAAGGCCGGCACGAUUCAGCGGUGGAAGUUUCCAGCGUUGUCUGCGACGCAAACUCGGGAGCCUAAGAGGAACGUCACGCCUAUUUUGAAUGUGAUGAUUGGCUUGAUGACGACUUGGGCCAUCAAGUUCGCUAGUGGAUUCUCAGCGAGCUCCCUUACUUGGCGCGUCAGCCGUCCUGUGUGUUGGUUGUUGUAUAUUGCACCCUGUGUGUUGAGGAUUUGGUCCUCUGUUGUGAUUCUCUAUAUGCUGACGUAGGUACCCCUGCCCUCCUUUAUAUACUCCAGGAGGCGGGAUUACUAGCCGGUUAUAAGGUAGAAGUUCUAGUAGGAUUACAUGGUAUGAGACCUAAUAGGAUUACAGAAGAAUCCUAGUAGGAGUCCAUCUUCUUCCUUCCUUGCGGGUAGUGGGGAUCUAUAGGAUGUCGACCGUUUCAAGGCGGCUUCCAUUCUUUCCCACCCAAUUGCCAUGACCUACACCUUCAACCCCUCCAUUAGCGCCUUCGGCAGCAUCCUCACCGCCUGGAACCCCAACCACCUCUCGCUCACCUCAUCAUCCACCUCUGCUCACACCCUCACCUCCACCUUUCAGUCUACAGCCAAUUGCUCCACCUUCAUUGCGAUGAACUGCUACGGUCCUUGUGCCCACCAGGACAAGCAGGCCUUCUUGGACGAGUUAACUUCGCUUUCCUCUUCUAUUUCAGGUGCAUGGAUUGUGCUAGGGGAUUUCAGUCUUGUUCGUUCUCCUGGAGAACGUUCCAAUGACAACUUCGACAUCCACGAAGCUGAUUGGUUCAACUCAAUGAUUGAUGAUCUCGCACUCCUGGAAGUCCCUCUUUUGGACCGUCGGUUCACUUGGUCCAACCACCAGUAGUCGCCUAUCUUGGUCAUGUUGGAUCGUUUCCUGGUUAACGUUGAUUGGAGUAAGCAGUUCCCGAAUCCUGCUCACGGCCUCCAUGUCCAUUCCACGACUGAUGAUCUUUCGAUUCAACAACCACUGGACUUGGGUGCCAGGCUGCCACGAAGUCAUAAGGGGGCAUGGUCUAGUGUUCAUAGCUGCACGGAUUCUACUAAGCUAAUGCUUUGACUCAAGAGGUGUCGUGCUGAUCUUAAGUCCUAGAAGCACUCUCACCGCUCACCGUGCAACGUCUUGCUCAACUGCAGCUUGGUCAUUGCAAUGAUGGGAGGUCCGCCCGCUCUAUCCUACAGAAUUUGUUCUCCGUUCUCUGGUGCGUGAUGCUACUCGCGAGCAUACUGCACAGCUUUCCAUCUUUUGGUGACAGUGAAGCAAGGUUCAUUCCUGCCUUCUGAGUGAUGCCAAUUCUAAAUUUCAUCACUUAUCUACAACGGUCCGUUGGCGCCGCAAUCAGAUUAGGACACUUCAACUGGAUGAUGGCAUAGAGGUUCAUCGUCACUCUGCGAAGGCUAUGCUUCUACGUGACUUCUACAGUCAGCUCCUUGGUGUUGCUGAUCCGGCAACCUCUUUGCUCUUCACUAUAUCACUGCAACAGCUUUUUGCCUCAACCACUUUGUCACUCACUCAAGUUGCUAGUCUGAUUCAGCCAUUCACCAUUGAUGAGCUCAAGGAUAUUAUCAACUAUAUGCGUAUGGACACUGCUCCUGGACCAGAUGGAUUUCCCCCCAAUGUUCUUCUAGGCUAACUUUGCCAUGGUCAAGGAUGACCACAUGCAGCUCUUACACAACUUCCACAACUGCACGGCUGAGCUCCACUGGUUUAACAAAGCUUAUCUUGCACUGCUAAUAAAGAAAGAUGUCUCCCUGCUGCCGAAGGACUACCGGCCAAUUUCAUUGCAAAACUGCAUCAUUAAGAUUUGCACCAAAGACAUGACAUCGCAGUUCCAACCUCUUAUUCCCCUCUUGGUGCAUUGUGAUCAAACAGGGUUCCUCAAGGGUAGGUGUAUCGCUGAGAACUUCAUCUAUGCCACUGAGAUUGUCCAAUGUUGUCACGAAAGAAAAGCACCUACUGUGGUUCAUAAGUUGGACUUCCGAAAGGUCCUUGACUCUAUCAGUUGGAACGCUCUUGAUCUCAUCCUACAAGUGAAAGGGUUCCCUCCCUAUGGUGUAAGUGGAUUCAGCUCCUCAAUGACUCUAGCCAAACGGCCGUUGUCCUCAACAGCGUGCUAGGAUCUUGGAUACAAUGCAGAAAAGGUCUCUGCCAAGUCGAUCCACUCUUCGCAUACCUCUUCAUCCUUGUUGUGGUUUUGCCGCAACAAAUGAUCCUCCAUGCCUCCAACCAGGGCCUCCUGCAACACUCGCUAGUGAUGGAUUUGCCUUGCUCGAUCCUUUAGUACGCUUAUGACACCUCAAUUGUGCUCAAGGCAGAUCAAGACCAGCUUCUUCACCUCAAGUCACUCCUUGAUAGCUUCUUCUUCACUGGCCUCCAUAUCAACUACAACAAGAGUACCUUUGUGCCAAUUGGAUUGGAUGGUCAACAAGAACAAAUGCUUGCUGCGUCAUUGGGUUGCCCGAUCGUCCAAUUCCCGCAGAUCUACCUGGGACUUCCUCUAUCUGUUCACAAGCUCCGGUGCGAUGAUAUGCAGCCUCUAGUCAACGUUGUUGGCAACUACAUCCCGGGUUGGUGCGGCAAGAUCCUCACGCCUAGUGGGUGUAUGAUCCUUGCAAACGCUGUCCUGGGUGCACGAUCAAUCUAUGCCAUAUGUUCCAUCCGCUUACCCAAGGGCACAAUUGAAGCCAUCGACGCUCACCGGCGAGCCUUCUUAUGGACCGGGGAUGCCUCCUGCUCUGGAGGACAGUGCAAAGCUGCCUGAAUAAUGGUCUGUUUUGACAAGGAUAAGGGUGUCCUCGAUUUUAAGGAUCUUGCAACACAAAACCAUGGCCUCCUACUCAAAUUCGUAGCCAAGCUCCAUCAACCACCUUCGACCAACUGGCAAAGAUGGUUCCAUCGCAUGUAUGUCUCUGGUGUUGGAAGGGAACUUGGAGAGCUGCAUCAUCUUGACACACAUAUCUGGUAAUCUCUUCUGUGGCUGCUGCCUGAGUUCCACUAGUGCACACGAGUGCACCUGGGUAAUGGCGGCAGCACAUCAUUUUGGUUUGAUCACUAGAUUGGAGAGCGAUCGUUUUCUGAAGUGUUCCCAGUUCUAUUCUCUUUCACCAAGAAUCCACAGCUAUCUGUUGGGAAGGCCUUUGUUAAUGGCUCAUGGGAUCUCUCUCUACACCAACGACCGUCUUCUGCUGGAAUCUUUGGCUGUGAUCAACAACACCUCCUCCCCUGACAGGCAUGGAAUCGGGAUUGGCCUACAAUCAUUCUCCUCCUCAGCCUUCUAUGGGUGGACGAUGGAACAGCGCCCACUAGAUGAGUUCGCUGACUACAUCUGGUCCAGCGCCACGACGCCACGCGCCAAGCAUUUUCUAUGGCUGCAGCACCGUGAUCGCCUGCCUUCCGCGAUGUUGCUUCAUCACCACAGCAUCAUUGACUCAACACUCUAUGCUUACUGUGCUGCACACGAGGAUCAGGAUCACAUCAUCAUAAGGUGUGCACAAGCUAAACGUAUCUGGCGUGCCCUAUGCUGGGAUUGUGCUUCGCACCUUGUGUCCUUCCGAGACCUCUGGCACAUCCUGCAACUCCAUGAUGAUGCAUCACCCAAGGUGCGCUCAACCAUCAUCACGGCCAUUACCUGGAACAUCUAGAAAACAUGGAAUGACUUGGUUUUCAAUGGGAUCGUUGCCUCGGCGAACGCAUGCAUCCAUGCAAUCGCGUCGGAUAUUGAUCUCUGGGUUCACCGCACUAGGAACGCGGAUUCUCUCUUUCUCAAGGCGUGGAGUUCAUCUCUUUGUAAUAUACCAUAGCUAAAUUACUCCUUCUCUCAUCCCCUCCUCUCAUAAAUCCUGUAUGCAACAACUUUGUCAUAUUAAUAUAAUGUUCAGGCUAGCUUCUUGCCUGCCGUAGCACCCUUCAAAAAAAAGUAGCAAAUUUGAUGAGUAUGACAACAGAUAGGACAUGUUACAAGCAAUAACUAAAGUGAAAUGUUGCAGUCUUGCAAACGGCGAACACUAGCGUGAUUACAUCUUAACAACGAUACUAAUGCUAUCAAGUAGUUGUCUUUGGAGAAAAAUGCUACCAAGUAGCACUAGUAGAGAAACAACUUUCCAUCUAGCAACAUAAAUCUCGAACGGUUUUGGACCCGGGACUAAAUCCUUUAGUCCCGGGUCUAAAUUUUAGAGUCUCUCAGAUCCCUUUUAAUCCUGGUUGGUGGUUCCAGCCAAGAUAAAAGAGGAGCUUUUAGUCCCGGUUGAAGCCACCAACCCAGAUAAAUGAGCACGGAACCCAUUAGUCCUAGCUAGUGGCUCUAACCAGGACUAAAAGACCCCUUUUAAUUUCGGUUGGAGCCACCAAACAGGACUAAGUAUUUUUACCGCUGGCGGUCCCUCUCUCCACCUUAUCUUCUCUCCUCCUCUCCCCUUCUCCCUUAUCUCCUCUCAUUUUCUCCCUUAUCUCCAGGCACAGGCGUUAUCUGAAUGCGCGUUGGGGGGCACGAGCGGUUGGGGCCGUGUGGCUAGCGUGGGAGCGCACGGGCCGGCGGGGCACGCAGCGGUCGGGACCGCCUCCCGCGGCCGACCUGCUAGGAGCGGCGGAGCGCCAGCGGCCAUGGCCAAGGCCAUAGAGCGGCGUGCGUCCUGGGGGCACGGCGGCCGCCAUGGCCCGACCUCUAGCGGGGGCGCAACUCCACGCGGCAUGCCAUCUCCGUGACGCACGACCGGUGGCAGGAGCGCAGCGGUGGGGGGCACGAGCGCCGGGGCCGUGCAGCUGGCGCGGGAGCGCACGGGCUAGCGGGGCAUGCAGCGGCCGGGACUGCCUCCCGCGGCCGGCCUGCUGGCGGCCAUGGCCAAGGCCAUAGAGUGGCGUGCGGCCUGGGGGCAUGGUGGCCGGCACGGCUCAGCCUCCAACGGGGGCGCGGCUCCCCGCGGUGCGCGAUCGGCGGCGGCAGCGCGACGGUGGAGGGCACGAGCGGCUGGGGCCGCGCAGCUGGUGCGGGAGCGCACGGUCCGGCAGGGCACGCGGUGGCCGGGACCACCUCCCGCAGCCGGCCUACUAGAGGCGGUGGGGUGCCGGCGGCCGUGGCCAAGGCCAUGGAACGGCGCGCAGCCUGGGGGCACGACGACCGAUGCCGCCCGGCCUCCAACGGGGGCGCGGCUCCUCGCGGCAUGCGACCGGCGGCAGGAGCGUGGCGGUGGGGGGCACAAGCAGCGCAGCGCAAGUGGCCCUGCAUGGUUUGUUUGUGAGUGAAUAGUGAUUCGGUAGUGCAUGAUUUGUGCGAAUUGUUUAUUGUGUAUCACGUCUUGUGCGAAUUGAUUGGUUGUGUGUUCUUGCUCAUCACUGGAGACGGCAUGAUUUCUCUAUCUAGGUUUUGGUUAGUCUUUAUGCUGAAAAAAGAUUGCUACCAUCUAUGCUAUCAAGCUCGAUCUUCACAGAGGAAUGCAUCAUAUUGAAGUAUAGAGCUGCAUGCAUCGACCAGUUCAAAUAAAAACUUAUAUUGAUAGGGAAAUCUCAGUUACACUUCAACACAUCCAUUACUUUUCCUUAUAGCACUAGUAGGGAACUGAUCUUCCAUCCAGAUGCUUUUAUCCUGGUUGACUUUGGACCCGGGACUAAAGUGCCUUUAGUCCUAGGUCAGAAACACCAACCGGGACUAAAGACCCCCCCCCUUUAAUCCCGGUUGGUGUUUCUAAUCGGGACAGAAGACCCCCGUCCCACGCACCCCCCCCUCUCCACCUUAUUUUCUCCUCACCCUUUCUCCCUCCCUUAUCCUCGCGCACCACCUCCUCUCUCCCUCCACCGCACCGUCCUCUCUCCGUCCACCGUGCCUACCUCUCCUCCCUCCCUUAUCCUCGUGCUGCGCCUCCCCUUCCCCCUCUGCUCGCCCCUCACUGGCAGUGAGGAGCGGCAGUGGGGCGAGGCAAGGCAAGUGGCGGGCGCGAGCGGGCCGGCGGCUGGCAGGCACGGUGCGGGCGAGCGGGCGGGUGAGCGGAGGCGGAGCAAAGGCGGGCGGAGGCGAAGCCGAGGUGGGCCCAUUUUUUAUUUUGUUUAACUUUUUAGUCCCGCUUGGUAAUACCAACCGGGACUAAAGGGGGUCUUAGUCAUGAGUGAAUGAACCGGGACCAAAGGACCCCCCCCCCCCCCCGUCUCAAAAAUUUAGUCCCACUUGAAUUUUCGGGAUCUAUGGCACUAUCCAACCGGGACUAAAGCCGCGUUUUCCACCAGCGUAGGAAGGAAGAAUAUUGAGAUGUCGCUUGUCCUCUGUAUCCACAGUCACCUGCUUGAUACGUGUUAAAUUAUGUAAAGGAACCUUUGGAGAACAUUUGCAAAAAAAAAGCUAUGCACUUUUGAAUUCUCCAACUGGCUGUGGACUAAAUUGUAGUAAAUCACAAGUAAAUGGAGCCAGUCAUCUGCUCCCAUGUGUUUUGAAAGGUCUCAUUUGUAUUGAAUCUGUGAUCCUCUUCCCCACCAACCACCUUAAGUCUAUUGUCAUCCUAGCAUAAACAUUGGCUGGCUAUUAAUUUGCUUUCUAGCCAUUAUUGUUAUUGCCUCUCAUGCUCAGAUGUUUUACAAGUAUGCAUGCCUCUCCCCUCUUCUGUAAAAAAAGCCAUCGCAUUUUCCUAGCUUGAUCUCUUCCUGUGCCAUCUUCACCUUCGCCGCUGCUUCAUUCACGCACACCCAGCUUGGAAUGAGAGGUACCAACAAAUUAACUGUGUGGCUCAUAUUUUCCACCUGUCACCAAAAAUUUUAAAUCCACUUGAAUAAAUUCCACGGUUUUGGCAUUCACGGGUGUUCAUAACACAUAUCAACAAAACGAUGAGAUAGUAAGAUAUUGAGGUAGCAAUGGAUGGCAAGCUUGAACCUAAUCCCUUAGUUUUACCAUGCCUAACGGGAAGAUUUAAUUUGCAUCAAUACGGUACUAAUAGAUUGAACUUCAUGGUAAAUAUAUGAAUUUGUGGAUAAAAUAAACAAGUCAAAUAAUCGAACAUUGAAGAAAACAUAUAUAGUUCCAAAUAACCAUAGUAGUACAUAAUAUUUUGAAUCAAUAAGGUUGAGAUUUAUUGAUUUUUGCAAUGGUGAAUAAUUUAUAAUUUAAAUCUUGGGUGGAGUCUACAAACUGCAUGGAGUCUACCAUUUUGUUCUGACAUAUAUACAGUACUCCAAUAAGGUAGUAAACAACUAAUCAUUAGGGAUAUUGGCGCUGCCCAAUGCUUAUUAGAAAGGUAGUAAUAAAUAAUCUACCUAUUAUCUUAGUUUUUCACCAAUAAAAGAAGGGCAACAGAAGUCAUAGAAAUUGCCACAUUAGCGAGGGCAAAUUAUCCAUAUACUUGUUUAUAAAGUACCCACCCACUAGUCCACUACCCUUCCACAAAUAAUUAUGCCAAAAUACCCCAUAUACCUACUUCUGCAUAACCCACCACUACCAUAAUGCAAAACUAAGCCAAGCUAUGCGCUAUUGAAUUCUCAAACCGGCACGUAUCUGAAUUUGGGAUGGAGGGGUAUUCUUUAUUUAGCAUGUGCCCAUGCGGCCUCGACCAACCAUCCUUUUCUAGUCCUGCGGGCAGCAAGCUUGCAGCGCCCACGAAUAAAAAUAAAUUGGGACCAUGUAGCCUGUUGCUUCAGUACCUUGUGCCACUCUGAUCGAUAUCGCAUCUGCUUAUGACCAUAUAGUAGUCAAUAAGCUGCAGGUAGGCUAGCUUUCAUUGUCGUUCCGCACUGCAGGACUGCAAUCCUGCCUAGUACAUGCAUAGAAAUCAACUAGCUAGAAAUGGGAGGUAUCGGAAGUUCCUAAUCACUACAUGCAAGCUUUUUCUCUGAGGAUUCUAGAUGCAUCGUCUAAUGAACGUAGAUGAGGAAAGGUUGCUAUCAUCCAUUUAUCUCACAUCACAUCAAGCUCUCAGGACGCUUCACGGAGGACUCAUGGCUAUGGAUUUUGUUGUGCCGAACAUGGGGUUGAGGCUUCCAAGAGGAAGCGGAACCUUUUGGCAUGCUCACCGCCUCUUGCUUGGCACUCGGCACCUGCUGGCUGUAAUGUGCACGCUGCCCACUGGUACCUGGUACCGUUCGUGCUGCCGGUUUGGCGGGCACUAGAAGACAAAAAGUUCCGGGUCUAAAUUUUAUAGUCUCUCGAAACCCUUUUAAUCUCGUUUGGUAGUUUCAAUCAAGAUAAAAGUGGAGCUUUUAGUCUCGGUUGGAGCCACCAACCCUAAUAAAUGAGCAUAGAAACCAUUAGUCCCGGUUGGAGCCACCAACCGGGACUACAUAUUUUUACCGCAGGCGGCCCCUCUCUCUCCACCUUGUCUUCUCUCCUCCUCUCCCCUUCUCCCUUAUCUUCUCUCAUUUUCUCCCUUAUCUCCACAUAGGCGUUAUCUGAGCGCGCAAUGGGGGGCACGAGCGACCCGGGCCACACGGCUGGCGUGGGAGUGCACGGGCCAGCGGGGCACGCGGCGGUCGGCCUGCUAGGGGCGGCGUGGCGCUAGCGGCCGUGGCCAAGGCCAUGGAGCGGCACCGGCCUAGGGGCAUGGCGGCAGGCGCGGCCCGUCCGGCCAGCGGGGGUGCGGCUCCCCGCGCGCACGACAUCCGCAGGAGCACGGCGGUGAGGGGCAUGAGCAGCCAGGGCCGCGCGGCUGGCGCGGGAGCACACGGGAUGGCGGGGCACGCGGCGGUCGGGACCACCUCCCACGGCCGGCCUGCUAGGGGUGGCUGGGUGCCGACGGCCGUGGCCAAGGCCAUGGAGUGGUGUGCGGCCUGGGGGCACAAAGGCUAGCUCGGCCUCCAACGGGGGCACGGCUCCCCACGGCACGCGAUCGGUGGCAGGAGCGCGGUGGGGAGGGGCACAAGCGGUCGGGGUUGCGCGGCUGGUGUGGGAGCGCAUGGGCCAGCGGGGCACACGGUGGCCGGGACCGUUUUCUGUGGCCGGCCUGCUAGGGGCGGCGGGGUGCCGGCGGCCGUGCCCAAGGUCAUGGAGCAGCGCGCGGCCUGGGGGCACGGCAGUUGACGCCGUCCGGCCAGCGGGGGCGCAGCUCCCCGUGGCGUGCGACUGGCGGUGGGAGGCACGAGCGGCGCAGCGCAGGUGGCCCGACAUGAUUUGUUUGUGAGUGAAUAGUGAUCUAGUAGUGCAUGAUUUGUGCGAAUUGUGUAUUGUGUAUCAGAUUUUGUGCGAAUUGAUUGGUUGUGUGUUCUUACUUGUGUGAUGAUCAUGUGAGAUGAGCAUAUUUUUUUUGCUUCAAUUUGUGAAGCAUCAAUUGUUUCUUGCUCUUGAUUUGGUUGUCUCGGUGGUGAAGUUGGAGCUGAGGUGGUACGGUGGUCGAGGCAGAGCUGUAGGGGUGGCGGCGCGAGCAGGCAAGACGGAGGGCGGCCCACUUUUUUUUAUUUUUUCGGAAUACUUUUAGUUCCGGUUGGUGCUACCAACCGGAUCUUUAGUCCCGAAUGAUUAGUCCUGGUUGGAUUUUCAAGACCUAUAUGUCUCUCCAACUGGGAUUAAAGCUCAGUUUUUCAUCAGUGUAGUUGUCAAUAAAAGGUUGUAUGGUGCAACAUAUAACUCAAUAAAUUCCAAUCCCAGUACAUAUUAUUUAGGAGGCACACCUGGAUACACAAUCCAGUUCUCAGAUAAGAUUUACAAAAGAUGAUGGUAACUGAUUGCAAUCAAAAAAUUAAUGGCGUUGCCUUUGAUCAAGGAACCUUCCUGCCCGUGAGACUCACACGCAGCUAACCAGACGACGUCUGAACUGGAAAAAGCAGAAACCGCUAAUGGAAGCGUUUCAUAGCACCAACCACAGCACAAGCAAAAGAUGCUAAAAUAUCCUAUGCAAAUUGGGGAGCACGCAGCAAUCUCUGUAGAUUGCGUCAAUCAGUCGAUGGCGAUUAUCGGCAAUUCCGCGUGUCGCCUAGCAUUUGGGGAGAUCAGACGGCGGAGGCAGCAGCUUCUCUUUAGGCUUGUCUCCGUCCAGCACCAGCCAUGCCAUUUUCAGGCCCCAGCUGACGUGAACCUCCAAGUGGCAAUGCAUGAACCACACCCCUGCACACACGACUACUGUUAACAUUCUCCAAGAAGCUUGGGUUAUCCCAAACCAAAGUCACUUUGCUUCCUCAUCAGAUCGUUGCUGAUCUGGCACAGUUAGUAUGUCACGGUAAUUUUUGAAUUCUUACCUGGAUUGUCUGCACGGAACCGGAUGGCCACCCAGCCGCCGGCCGGCACGCCGACGGUGUUCCGCUCGACGGGGUCGACGAGGUUGUACUGGGCCGGGUCCUUGACGGGGUCGAAGUUGCCGAAGCCUUGGCCAACGACGAAGAAGUUGAAGCCGUGGAGGUGCAGCGGGUGGCUCUCGUUGCCGAGGAUGCUGGUGCCCUGCAUCACCAGCUCCACGCUGGUGCCGUACGGGAGCACCACCAGCUUGGUCCCGUUGGACACGUUGGUGUUGUUGGGCGGCGUCCCCGUGUAGUUGAACGGGAUCAGCGG
rnacentral:lncRNA from 1 species